GGAAGAAACGGUUCGGGCUAAUAUCCUGGGCUAAUGACGGUACCUGAAGAAUAAGCACCGGCUAACUACGUGCCAGCAGCCGCGGUAAUACGUAGGGUGCGAGCGUUAAUCGGAAUUACUGGGCGUAAAGCGUGCGCAGGCGGUUGUGCAAGACAGAUGUGAAAUCCCCGGGCUCAACCUGGGAAUUGCAUUUGUGACUGCACGGCUAGAGUGUGUCAGAGGGGGGUAGAAUUCCACGUGUAGCAGUGAAAUGCGUAGAGAUGUGGAGGAAUACCGAUGGCGAAGGCAGCCCCCUGGGAUAACACUGACGCUCAUGCACGAAAGCGUGGGGAGCAAACAGGAUUAGAUACCCUGGUAGUCCACGCCCUAAACGAUGUCAACUAGUUGUCGGGUCUUAAUUGACUUGGUAACGCAGCUAACGCGUGAAGUUGACCGCCUGGGGAGUACGGUCGCAAGAUUAAAACUCAAAGGAAUUGACGGGGACCCGCACAAGCGGUGGAUGAUGUGGAUUAAUUCGAUGCAACGCGAAAAACCUUACCUACCCUUGACAUGGCAGGAACCUCCGAGAGAUUGGAGGGUGCCCGAAAGGGAACCUGCACACAGGUGCUGCAUGGCUGUCG
rnacentral:rRNA from 1 species